rnacentral:rRNA from 1 species
GACGAACGCNGGCGGCGUGCUUAACACAUGCAAGUCGAACGAAGAGCGAUGGAAGCUUGCUUCUAUCAAUCUUAGUGGCGAACGGGUGAGUAACGCGUAAUCAACCUGCCCUUCAGAGGGGGACAACAGUUGGAAACGACUGCUAAUACCGCAUACGAUCUAACCUCGGCAUCGAGGAUAGAUGAAAGGUGGCCUCUACAUGUAAGCUAUCACUGAAGGAGGGGAUUGCGUCUGAUUAGCUAGUUGGAGGGGUAACGGCCCACCAAGGCGAUGAUCAGUAGCCGGUCUGAGAGGAUGAACGGCCACAUUGGGACUGAGACACGGCCCAGACUCCUACGGGAGGCAGCAGUGGGGAAUCUUCCGCAAUGGACGAAAGUCUGACGGAGCAACGCCGCGUGAGUGAUGACGGCCUUCGGGUUGUAAAG